GUUAUGAGAUCUGGUGCCCUCUUCUGGUGUGCAGAUAUACACGGAAGCAGAAUAUUGUAUACAUAAUAAAUAAAUAAAAUCUUUAAAAAAGGUUAUUGAUUGAUUCAUGUAUUGUAGUUCUGUGGAUGGAACCCAAGACAGGACCUUACAUACUCUAUAGUUAUGUGACUCCACUAAAAUAGAUGCCAUCCCAGCACCCAUUCUGUUAGUUCAUUUGCCUGAGACAGGGUCUCAUGUAGCCAGAGUGGCCUCAAACUCAUUGCGUAACUGAGGCCCUUCAACUCCUGAUUCCCUUGCUUCUGUUUCCCCAAUGCUGAGGUUACAUGUGUCACUACACCUAGCUGCCAACUUAUUUAAUUUUUUUUUUAAAAAGGGAGAAGGAAUUUUUGAGGAGGAGAAACAUACAAACAGCCUAAAGCCCUUUAUAUAUAUAUCAGAAAAACAAGAGCAGUGCCUCUAGAGCUGGUAUGGGGAUGCCUGCUGUUUGUGGCAGCUGUGAGCCAGCUGCUGAGGGGCUGGCCUUUGUUUCUCUGAUGUAAGGACACAUCAUCUGUCCCAACUGUUUAUUGCUCACAAAACACACUGUCUCCCUGGGAUCUGUCCCAGCUGGGAUCCAAAGCUGAGCGGAACGGAUUUUACACCUUUUGUUGCAUUUCCUUAAAUGUAAACUAGUAAAACCAAGGACAGAACCAUGAUGAGAUGGACAGUGCUCCGCUAUUUUUACCAUCCACUUUCAUGACUUAUGCGGUUUCCAGGGUUGUGAAGGUCCCUUCCUGUACAGGCACUCCUCUAUCCAGAAGCCCUCUCCUACUCCCCCAGAAGCUGGCCCAUGGUGAAUUCUUGACUUUUAUUGAUCAGAUGCAUGGUUGGAGCAGCUGAAGCAUACCACGCAACAGCACACAUUUCAGUGAGUGGACAGAGCAAUGGCAAACUCCAAGAUAAAUCAGAAAGUCAGCAAUGGCUUGUGGAGUGCAAUUACAAAGGAAAAGAGACUGCCGAUUACCACUGAAAUGGAGUGAAGUUUCUGGAAAGGAUUGCUGGGCUCCUGGUCUGUGUCAGCAUGGUCGGUAAAACAUCGCACAGAGCUCAACACACCCACUGUCGGAACCAGUUGGCAUUUAAUAAGAAGACCCCCUGAGAGAAGCUUGCUGAUGUGGGCAUUUCUGCAACAUAUCUGUGCAGGGGUGGGGCCCUUUUGCAAAAAUUCUUUAGGAGGGAGGGAAGCAUCAAAUGAGUCAGAUCUGUAUUCAUGGGGCUACCCCCUGGGACACAACUUGACUCAUCCACAAAUACUGACAUUCCUUUGGAAGAAGUGGACUGCAAAUACUUUCCUGGAGGGAAAGCCGUAACUGCAUUGACCUAACAAUUGCUUUAGCAAGCAUGUAGCCACAAAUAUUAAUCAUCCAUAGAUGCUCCUCUUUAAUAUGUAAUCUGUAAAUGUCCACUGAUAAGGAACUGGUUGAAUAUGUUAUAGUGCAUGCAUACAUGGGAAAAUAAGGCAAUUCUGUGUGGAAAAAAAAACUUAGGAAAUAUUAACAACUCAAAAAAAUGACUAUGUAUGUAUAUAUAACAUGAUCCUAUGUGCACAAAAUGCCUUUCUUUUUUUUUGUUGUUGUUGUUGUUUUUCUUUUGAAACAGGGCAGCACUAGCUGGCCUGGAACUCUCCUAUGUAGACUAGAAUGGCUUCAAAUUUAUAGAGAUCUCUCUGCCUCUACCUCCCAAGUGCUGGGAUUAAAAGUGUAUGUCACAUA